UGAAAUCUGGCUCUCGGGCCCGAGUUGUAAUUUGCAGAGGAUGCUUUUGGUGCGGUGCCUUCCAAGUGCCCUGGAAUGGGACGCCACAGAGGGUGAGAGCCCCGUCUGGUUGGAUGCCAAACCUCUGUAAAGCUCCUUCGACGAGUCGAGUAGUUUGGGAAUGCUGCUCUAAAUGGGAGGUAUAUGUCUUCUAAAGCUAAAUACCGGCCAGAGACCGAUAGCGCACAAGUAGAGUGAUCGAAAGAUGAAAAGCACUUUGAAAAGAGAGUUAAAAAGUACGUGAAAUUGUUGAAAGGGAAGCGUUUGUGACCAGACUUGGGCUUGGUUAAUCAUCCAGGGUUCUCCCUGGUGCACUUUUCCAGCCCAGGCCAGCAUCAGUUCGUCUCGGGGGACAAAGGCUUCGGGAAUGUGGCUCUCUCCGGGGAGUGUUAUAGCCCGUUGCGUAAUACCCUGUGGUGGACUGAGGUUCGCGCUCUGCAAGGAU
rnacentral:rRNA from 1 species